ensembl:lncRNA
UAUCAUAACAGAAAGGAGAGAUGGAUUAGUGUUCUCCAACAGAAAACUUCUUCUUUUGGGAAACAUAAAACAGCUUCCAGGGCAACAAAGAAGCAGACAGAUGUACUUACAGAUGAAAACAAUUUGUAAAUUUCUACUCAACUUACCAAGCAGGAUGGAUAGAUGGAAACCAGUGCCAGCUCUGAUCCAGAAUUCAAGAUUUAAGGACAUAACUUCUGACUGAGUCACACCGCUACCUGGGUUGGAAGAGGAAGGUCAUGCAGGAGCUCUGUUAUGAAAAAGCAGCUGCUGAGGGAAGAGAUAGGGAAGUGAACACAGUCAAACUAUUCUGUCAGUGUCCCCUCUCCUCAUCCAGACAGAUUCACACCAAUAGACUGUUCUGUUAGAAAGGUAGCCAGUCAUGUCUUAUCCAGGCAAGGCUUCUUGGUAUAACUGCAGAUGAAUACACGCCAGAGGUAAGAUGACAAAUAUCACUUACACUGGGAAGGAUCUAGAUGGCUGUGUACCACGUAGGAUGCAUGCUUCUUCAUAGCGCGGUAGCUUGAAGGAAGUAUAUGGCAGUAGUCCAGUUAAAUACCCAUUUUCUAUAGAUAAAUUAAGAGUAAUUUUUAAAAGUGGGGAGGGCUGAAAGAGG